AUAUGCUUAAAAAAAAACCCAUGUGAUAACAUUAUAGGAUUUUGGUCCUAUUACGUUGGCCUUCAGGAUCGGAGUAAUGAUUAACAGGGACAGUCGAGGGAAUUCGUAUUUCAUAGUCAGAGGUGAAAUUCUUGGAUUUAUAAAAGAAGAACAACUGCGAAAGCAUUUGCCAAAGAUGUUUUCAUU
rnacentral:rRNA from 1 species